UAAGCCCCAUCUCCACUGGUGGUUUGUGGGGGCGAGCAGACACCCGAGACUCCAGAGCCUCGGGAGGAUGUCUGCAAGAGAGGAUGCAGGUGGAAUUUCAAGGUUCCUUCUGGCAUGUGGUAGAUCUGAGCAGGACAGCAGGUAGGAACUUACUGACUGGAAUCCCACUUCUUGUUGUGUUUGCGUUGAAAUCAGAGGCAUCCCUGCAGCUGCAGAAACCCAACAGACCCCAGGAUCCAAGCGCCCUUCCUGCUCCCAUAAGAGUCUGAAUCUAAGCCCUGUCUCUGCUGCUGAGAUCUAACCCACUGGCUGAUCGAGCGAAUUCAUUCUGAGCAAUUUGGGCCAGCUCUGCUGGUGAUAUUUCCAUAUCUCUGCUCGUGAGGAGCUGAGAAGUGAUCAACGGAGUCAACUGAGGUCUGUGAGGCUGGGCUCAGCCCUGCUGCRGUGUUGCUGACCGACAUCAGACAACGCGCUGGAGGGACGCGGCGUCCAAUAUSAGCAAAACCUGAUAUUUUACAUCUGUACCAUUUAAAAAUAUGUUUUAAUAUGUAAAUAUUUAAAUAUUAAUAUUUAAAAAUAAGCUGCAAGAGCCUAUGAGCUGAGCCUUGGGCCCGGCCUUGCAUUCCUGCUGCCAGCGUGCUCAUCACUGGGAUGAAGGUUCAGCUCCUUGCCCUGAACACCAGCUCCCAAGGGAGGGCAGGUCCCAAGGAAGAGCAGGUCCCAAGGGAAGGUGGUCUCAGGUCAGAAAGCGCAGUGGAGAGAAUGUUCUCGGUGCAGAGAACGGGGACCUCGGCCUCAGCCGUCCUGACCUGGCAGGAUGUCAUUCCUCAGUGCUCUCUCUUCCAAGGAUUCAGGUCCCUUUGAAAGUGAGAAGAAGUGAAGCUUCUUCCCCAGAGAGGCUGCCUGGGGUGGGGGGUUAUGUUUGUUGAUGUACCUUGAAGGUGGCCACCCCAAAGACUGUUAGCUGGGUCGGUUGUUUGCAACUCAAACCUUUUACUGGGUAAAAACUGGUAGAACUAGCUAAAGACAGCAAGAGUUUUCCUACAACCCCGUGGGCUACAGCAGAUAAUAACAAACUGCCCUAACUCUAUUAAAAGGACAUUUAGGUAUUGGGUCAUAUUGGUUAGUGGUGCAAAGAUCCAGCAGAGCUGCCUGCUUCCCACAUCCCAAGAGAUCGAGCUGCUGCUCCCUGGAACACAGGGAAGCUGGGAAAGGCUCAGUAAGGGAUCUCCUAUAGAACAUAKAUGACAAACCCCAUCUCUGUGCUGGAAAAGCACCUGAAGCAUCCGUGUCUCCCUUUGGAGAGCAGCUCACCUGAACCUGCUUCAGGCACUUCC